UACGUAGGGUGCGAGCGUUAAUCGGAAUUACUGGGCGUAAAGCGUGCGCAGGCGGUUCUGAAAGUCAGCUGUGAAAGCCCCGGGCUUAACCUGGGAAUUGCGGUGAAACUGGCGAACUGGAGUGUGGCAGAGGGGGGUGGAAUUCCGCGUGUAGCAGUGAAAUGCGUAGAUAUCUGGAGGAACACCGGUGGCGAAGGCGGCCCACUGGCUCGAUACUGACGCUGAGGUGCGAAAGCGAUGGGGAGC
rnacentral:rRNA from 1 species